rnacentral:lncRNA from 10 species
CAAAACUUUGGAUAAAUAUCCAAGAAUCCUUCCUUUACUACACAAGGAGAAAAGGAGAAAGUGUAUUGAACAGCAUUUUUUGUGCUUGGCAUGAAGAAAAUCAGUCCUGCAAGAAUGUGAGAAAAUUUUGGUAUAUAAGCCAAACAAUUGCUUCAUGAGCACUGCCUAACAGCUCAUGUUCACCUUGGAAGAAAAAGAAAACACCCUAAAUUCAUCCCUGAAAUGUUGUUAGAUGGUUUCAGAACUAAACAGGACCACAAGAAAUCAUGCUGCAUCCUUUCUACAGGAAAAGAAGGUGCGGUGGCUCACGUCUAUAAUACCAGCACUUUGGAAGGAAGAGGCCGGCAGAUCGCUUGAGCUCAGGAGUUCAAGACCAGCCUGACCAACAUGGCGAAACCCCACCUCUACUAAAAAUACAAAAAUUAGCCAGGUGUGGUGGUGUGUGCCUAUAAUCCCAGCUACUCGGGAGGCUGAGGAAGGAGAAUCGCUUGAACCCAGGAGGCAGAGGUUGCAGUGAGCCGAGAUGGUGCCACUGCACUCCAGCUUGGGUGACAGAGCGAGACUCUGUCUCAAAAAAUAAAAAAUAAGCUAGUGGACUUUGAGCAAAGCAGACUGUUCGCCACAAUGUGGGUGGGCCUCACCUGAUCAGUUGAAGUACUGAAUAGAACAAACCUCGCUCUACCCUGAGCAAGAAGAAAUUCUGCCAGCAGACCACUUUUGGACUCAAACUGCAAAUCCUGAAUCUCCAGCUUGCCAGCCUACUCCACCUGAUUUAGCAGAUUUUGGACCCACCAAGCCUCCAUAAUUCUGUGAGCCAAUUUCUUUAAAAUAAAUCUCUCUCUCUGUCUCUGUCUCUCUCUGUCUCUCUUCCUGUCUGUCUCUGUGUGUGUGCACAUAUAUAUACAUAUAUAUUUACAUAUGUAUAUAUGUGUAUACAUUUUAUAUAUGUAUAUAUAUGUAUGUAUAUGUAUAUGUGUGCAUAUAUGUCUAAACUAAUAUGUUCUGUUUCUCUGGAGAACCCUGACAAAUACAAUAGGUAUGCUUUUAAGCCUUUAAAUUACAGAAGGCUUCCCAGAAGAACUGGUAUCCAAGUUGAACCUGGAGAAGAGAAUAUUUCCUAAAACUGGCCAGUUAAGCCAAGAAGCAGUUUUUCUAAAACUAAUGUCUGUCAACGAGACAAAUAUUCUGGAAUCCAAAGGUCUCUCCAAGAAUUAUUUUUCAUUUCAUGCUUCCAUUCUGAUACUCUUUUAAAGAUUAACAUAAGCAUACCUGGUAUCACCUGGAUAACUACAUAGAACCAGAGUACUUUCAUAUAAUGUUAACAUCUCCCAUUGCAUUUAUGUCGAUGAUCAAGUUUGCAAGAAAUCACAUUAAAAUUGUAUCUAAAAAUGAUAUGAUGAGAGAAUUUUAACACCACACAGCAUGCCCUGUGCUGGAUUGCCCAAUAGUUAAAGAAAGGAGAGGGACAUGCAUAUAAACACACACACAAAGAUUCAUUCACAUGGGUUUUUUUUUUUUCUAAGAUCUUGAUAUUUCAAUAAGCCUAGAAAAUAGUAGAUUUAAACUCAAAUCCAGCCUGGCACAGUGGCACAUUCCUGUGGUCCAAGAUACUCAAUAGUCUGAGGCAGGAGAAUCUGUUGAGCCUGGGCAACAAAACAAGACCCCAUCUCUUAAAAAAGAAAACACACACACACACACACACACACACACACACACACACACACCCCAGAAAUCCUUUACCUGCAGACACCUAGAAAUGCUGCAUGAAAAUGUAAUAGUUGAGCUCUGAAAGAAGAAAAAGAGGGAGAGAGAGGCCUGUUGAUACUAGAAAUAAAAAUGAAACUGAAUCUUGAUUUUGGCAAUCAUGCAUGCUGAUGAAUAAGCAUGGGGCAGGAAAGGGGAAGGAGGCUAAUUGAAGGCAGUGAAGGCUAAAGGUUUAAGUUUUAUAAUGAAUAGAGAGUUAUACAAUGUAGAAAGUUGGAAGUGUAACUCAUACAUAAAGUCAUAUCUUGGGCCAGGCGCAGUGGCUCACGCACUUUGGGAGGCCAAAGCGGGCAGAUCACCUGAGGUCAAGAGUUCAAGACCAGCCUGGCCAACAUGGCAAAACCCUGUCUCCACUAAAACACAAAAAUUAGCCAAGCGUAGUGGCAGGCACAUGUAAUCUCAGCUACUCAGGAGGCUGAGGCAGAGAGAACUGCUUGAACCCGGGAGGCAGAGGUGGCAGUGAGCCGAGAUCAAGCCACUGUACUCCCAGCCUCGGUGACAGAGCAAGACUCUGUCUCAAAAAAAAAAAAAAAAAAAAAAAAAAAAAAAAAAAAAAAAAAAAAUCACGUCUUGAAGGGCUGCAAUUCUGGCCAAGUAAAACCAGAAAAACUUUGCGGGCUGUCUGGAACCCAAUAAAGAAUAUCUCUGCCUUGGCUGUGUGUAGGGGAAAACACAUUAAGAGAAAGCAAAAGACUUGGCCUGGGUCUCUGAUGGGUUUGAAGUCUGAAUGCUGCUAUUCACAAGGACUGGGAAAUCCCAAGCCAUUAAAAUAUCACAUACUUGCUCAUAACUUUGGGGCACCUUGCAGAAGACAUGCAAAUCCCUUUUCGAAGGAUGUUACUGCAUCUUUGUCACACAGAAUUCUCACUUUAAAAUGUGCAAGUCCUGUAUAAAAUGAGCCCAUAAUAAGAAAUUACAAGAGAGAGUCAGCAGACACAACAGAAGGAUUGAGUCACCUAGAACUAGAACUAAUAAAAUAAUAAUCUCAGAGCUAAUAUGAAAAGUAUAUUUAAGCUGAUUAAAGACAUUAAAAAGCAUAAAAUAAACAAAAGAAUAUAAAUGACAAAAAUAGAUUUGAAAAAUAAUUAAAUAGAAGUACUAAGGAAAAAUAUACCAAAAUUAAAAACUCAAUGGAUGAGUUAAAGAACCAACUAGAUCUAAUUGAAAAAAAAAUUAAUGAGCAUAUAUGAAAAAGUUAACCAGAAUAGAUCCCAAAAUUAUAGAUAUUUUAAAAGAUAAUUAUGAAAAAUUAAGACAUUUAGAAGAGAAUAAAAAUGUUUAACAAUCUGUUAGGAAUUUAGAAGAAAAGAAUACAGUGUCAAGGAGAGGCAAGAUUUGAAAUGAUAAUGGCUGAGUAUUUCUCAAAAGUGAUUGAAGGGAUGACUUCUCAAAUGAAAAAAUUUGAAUCUUAACCAGACUAACUAAAGUAAAAAUGCUCUUUCAUAUAAUAUACCAUUGUGAAACAGAAAGGGAAAAUCAUAAAAGUAACUAAAAUAAAAGAACAGGUGAGCCUAAAAAGAAAAACAUUCAGACUAGCAAUUGACUUCUCAGUAACAAAAGUAGAGGCCAGAAGAUAAUGGAAUAAUUUCUUCAAAGUACUAAAAAUUCUAAAAUUCUUUACCCACCUAAACUACCAUUCAGUAGUGAGGGUAUUGAAAUAUAUAUAUAUAAAAACAUAAUUUAAUAUAUAAUUUAACAUAUAUAAUUUAAUAUAUAUAAUAUUUGUCUAUUAUAUAUCAUAAAAUAUUAAAAGGAUUAAAAGGAUUUAUUCACAAACCCUCAAUGAAAAAAUUUCUGCUUUAAGAAGGACUCCAACCUCCCCCGCCCCCACAUAAUUAAGUUUAAAAGAAAUGAUGAGGCUGGGUGCGGUGGCUCAGGCCUGUAAUCCCAGCACUUUGGGAAGCCAAGAUGUGGGGAUCACUUGAGGCCAGGAAUUUGACACCACCCCAGGCAACACAGCAAGGCCCUGUCUCUACAAAAAAUGAAAAACAAUUAGCCAGACUGGUGGCGCAUGUCUGUAAUCCCUGCUACUCAGGAGGCUGAGACAGGAGGAUUGCUUCAGCCCAGGAGUUUGAGGCUGCAGCGAGCUAGGAUUCCACCACUGCACUCCAGCCUGGGUGGCAGAGCAAUUCCCUACCCCAAAAAAUAGUUAUAAUAAUAAAAUUUCAAAAUAAAAGAAAUGAUGAGCAAAGUAAUGAACAAACAUGUAUAGAAAUUUAAACAGCACUGACUGUUAAAAAAUACAGGGAAAGAACUUAAUAAGGAGUGAUUUUAAAGCAUUCUAAGAGCUUUGCAUUUUUAAAGAAAAUAGUAAAGAUACUGACUACUGUAGAUUUGAUCUGGUCAAAUGAUCAUUUAAAAAAUUGGGCCACGCGUGGUGGCUCACACCUGUAAUCCCAGCACUUUGGGAGGCUGAGGCAGGCAGAUCACCUGAGGUCAGAAGUUUGAAAACAGCCUGACCAAUAUGGAGAAACCCCAUCUCUACUAAAAAUACAAAAUUAGCUGGGCGUGGUGGUGCAUGCUUAUAAUCCCAGCUACUUGGGAGGCUGAGGCAGGAGAGUCGCUUGAACAUGGGAGGUGGUGAUUGUGGUGAGCCGAGAUCACGUCAUUGCACUCCAACCUGGGUAACAAGAGUGAAACUCCGUCACAAAAAAAAAAAAAAAAAAUUGAAAAACAGUCACUAAAAGAAUAGAAAUCAAAUGUUUAAAAGAGGAUAAAGGAAAUACUUUUUUUUUUAAGUAGAAAAGAUGUUAAGAAGAACCAAAGAAAAAGCAGGCAAUUAGAAAGCAAAAAUGAGAUGGUAGGAAUGAAUUUUAAAUAUCAGUAAUCUCAACCAAUCUAAAUGGAUCAAAAUCCUCAGUUAAGAGACAAAACUCUCAGACUGGAUUAUUUCCAUUUAAAGGAAAUAUAGGGGCUACAGAACAGGACACAUAAUGUCACAAAGGAAAACACAGACUUCCGAAAUGCAAAAUAUGGAGUGACCUACAAGAAACUAACUUGCUUCUGAAACAAGUCAAUAGCAUGAAAGAAAAAAAAGGGGGAACUGCUCUAUACUAAAAGAGAUUGAAGAAGUAUAACAAAUUAAAUACAUUGACCUUGUUUAGCUCUUGAUUUAAAUUACCAACCAUAAUAGGGCCGGGCACAGGUGGUGGCUAACGCCUGUAAUCCCAGAAUUUUGAGAGGUUGAGGCAGGCAGAUCACCUGAGGUCAGGAGUUCAAGACCAGCCUGGCUAACACAGUGAAACCCCGUCUCUACUAAAAAUACAAAAAUUAGUCAGGCAUGGUGGUGCAUGCCUGUAGUCCCAGAUACUCAGAAGGCUGAAGCAGGAGAAUCACUUGAAUCCAGGAGGCAGAGGUUGCAGUGAGCCGAGAUGAUGCCAUUGCACUCCAGACUGGGAGAAAGAGCCAGACUCCAUCUCAAAAAAGAAAAAAAAAAAAAAGACCAACCAUAAGAAAGCACAAGAAAAUUGGAGGAAUUAAAUUAUAUGUUGGGUAUUAUUACAUGAUACCAAAGGAUUCUUAUUUUGCUGGACGUGAUAAUGGUAUUUUGUUAUACAAGAAAGAAAACGUAUUAUUUAGAGAUAAGUACAAACUGCAUAGGGUAAAAUAUCAUGUUUGGGACAUGCUUUAAAAUAGUUCUGCAAGGGAAACAAAACAAAAAGAAAAGGAAUAUUUUUAAAGGGCUAAGAGAAGUAAAUGUCGUUAAGUCCUGGUAAUUGAUUAAUCUGGGUAAUGGGUAUAUGUGGGUUCACUAUACUGUAUUCUCUACUUUUGAAUAAGUUAUUAAAAGAUUUUAGUCCAACUACAAGCUGUUUUCAGAAAACAACUCUAAUUGCUUCUCAGCCUUUUGGCUAAGACCAAGUGUAAAAUACACCUCUAAAGACAAUCAAUUACAAAAUUUCAAAAUAAAAUGAUAGAAAAUACUACACACAAUAGCAACCCAGAGAAAGCUGGAAAAACUAUAUUCAUAUCAGACAUUAUUUAACUUUUACUUUAAGUUCAAGGGUACAUGUGCAGGUACAUUACAUAGGUAAACUUGUGUCAUGGGGGUUUGUUGUCUAGAUUAUUUCAUCACCCAGGUAUUAAUCCUAGUACCCAUUAGUUAUUUUUCCUGAUCCUCUCCCUCCUUGACAACUAGAUCUUAAAGCAAUAAAACAAACAAAAAAAUAUUUGGGAGGAAUAAAGGAGGUCAUCACAUAAUGAGAAAUUAAUCAGGGGAAAAAAAUCCUGAACCUACAGGUGCCUAAUAACAUGUCUCCCAAAGUAUAUAAAAUAAAAAUUGGCCAAGGUAUGAGGCACACUACCAGGCAUAGUAGAAAGUUAGAAUACAUUGUGGUGGGUUGAAUAGUUACCGCUCCUCAAAAGAUAUGUCUAAAUCCUCUAAGUGGUUUUUUGUUGUUGUUGUUGUUUUUUCUUAUUUGGAAAAAGAGCCUUUGCAGACAUGAUUCAAUUAAGGAUCUCCAGAUGGUAUUAUCCUAGAUUGUUUGGGUGGGCCCUAAAUCUAAUGACAAGUGUUUUUAUAAGAGACAGAAGACAAGGCACAGACACAGAGGAGAAGCCGUAUGAAGAUGAAGGAAAUGACUGGAGUUAUGAGCCAAGGAACGCCUGGAACCACCAGAAAUUGGAAGAGGGAAGAAAAAAAUCUCCCCUAGAGAAUCUUGUUCAGAGGGAGCGUAGCCCUGCCAUCACCUUGAUUCCAGACUCUUGUCGUACAGAACUGUUAGAGAAUAAAUUUCUGUUGUUUUAAACCACCAAAUUUGUGGGAAUUUUUACAGGAGCCCCAAAAAACUAAUACAUGUACCUCUCUGCAUAGUUGGUAGAUCAAGCCAACAAAAAGUAAUAAAAACAUACAAAAGAUUUCAAGAGCAUAGUCAAGCAGUUUUUAUCUAAUGAGCAUAUAAGCAAUCCUGCACUCAAUUAUUUGUUAAAAUAUCCCUUAUUUUUCAUUGCACAUGAAUCAUCUAUAUAAAUUUGAGUCAUAUUGUAACAAAAUAAUUUGUCAAUAUUG